AAAGAAAAAGAAAUUCAGUCUUGGGUUAAUUGAUUAGCCUCCAGCGGUGGAUCAUUAGGAUAAUACCCCUAACAUUGUUUUCACUUCCCACUGUCUAUGUCUAUUCCCUUUAAGUAGUUAGUCUUUCCCUGCCUCCGCACCACCGUUGAGCUUAGUCGUAUGAUUGUUUCUGGCCAAUGGGAUAAUAGCAAAUGAGGUGCAAACAGAGGCUUGACAAGUGCUUGUGCAUUGCGCAUGCCUUUUCUUUCUGCUGCGAAUCAUUCCGCCACAAGUGAACGAGCCUGUGCUGGCCUUGCGGAAGCCCAGCCGAGGCCUCAGAAUUUGGAUGAGAUCGUGUGAGACCAUCCACCCGAGGAAGCCAGCAAAGUGGCUAGAACCCGCCAUACGCCCGCAGAAUCACAAUUGCUGUUCUAAGCCACUACAUUUCAGGUGACUUGUUGAGCAGCAAACAAGAGCUGACGAACCUGAAGUCAGAAAAUGCUAGCGGAAGAAACAGGACCCAGAACUCCAUUGGAAAAUGGGGUAUACAGACUUCGAGGAUGCCAGACAAAGAGAUCAUUUGAAAUAUUGUUGUCACUAAGCCUUCUUUGAUCAAGACACCAUGAGCUCAUGCACACAUGGAGGAGAAUUGCUUCUCCUGACUGACAGUCAAGGAAGAACCUGGAAAUGCUCAGUGCGCUCCUCAAUCAGACCCAGAUCCCAGACCUCCGGGGUUUGAUUCAUUCAUCUCUAGCUAAGACUAUGUUUUCUAGCCUCUCUCCAGAAGACUGGGAGAUUCACUUUAAAAAGACGCUGCUGCUCGUGCUUUUUUCUCAUCACAAAAGAAUUAAUGUCUGCACAGCCCUUUGAAGAUGUGGUGUCACGCAUGUGCUAUUAUUAAUAAUGAAAUACAGAUCUGUUUCACACCAUCUGAAAAACAGGGUUUUGCCACCAUGAAGGAGCUUUUAUUUCUACCAGGUCUUCAUGAUGCGUAGCCCAGAUCCAGCUCAGCUUCAGACUGGGGAACCAUGUCCCAGAAAACGGGUAAAGAGAGGAAACAGCUGGAGAGAAACAAAACAACACACAACACCCAAUACGUUAACAAAUAAAAAUGAAAAGGAGGCUUUAAUCACCAUUUGAGAUCACUUCCCUGAUUGCAAGCAUUUUAGAUAGAACUCAGCACCUGCUAAAGAUGGGGCCUGGUGAGUGGAUCCUGGAUUCUUUAUGCAUUCUGAAGAAGGUAAACAUCCCCAGGUUCAUGAGCCAGUUCGAACAGGAAAGAGGGUACUGAUUGCAAUCUGCUGUUAGUAUUUCCUUUUGUAUUUGUUCAGUGCUUUGAGUCAUUCUCUUUUUCUUCUCUGAAACCACUAACAUUGCUCCUCCAGUAGCCUUUUGCAUUUACAAGCUACCUUAUCAUGCCUGGGUUUUUGGGAAAGGGAAGAUGGAUGUAAAGUGAGGCUACUGUAAACAACAGUUCAAUAAAGGCUUCACGACAGGGUCCAUUUAGGGAGGUGAGUGCAAACAUUCCAUGAAAUAAAAAGAACUGCUUCUGUGGGCUCAACUCACAACAGGCACAGCCGCUGUCAACAGCAGCCUGAGAAGGAGCAAAUUUGAGAGCUGGGUCUAUUCUUAUUUUUUAUUUUUGUAAAUCUUUGCACCUGUCUUUGGUGGCAAGAUUCUCAACUCAUUUCCCUUGUUUCUGCUCCCCCUCCUCCCUGCACUCUAUGCCUCGCUGGGGUUCUGCUUGUUUUGGAACUGGUGAUUCAAAAUGGACUCCAACAUUGUUUCUGAAUCACAAAGAGUGUGCAGAAGAGGGAAGUAUUUCUUGCUCCAUUCCAGGCCCCAACACAGAAGGUGCUGUGUGGAAAAGGGAGCUGAGGGGAGAAGAAAAAGAGGAGGGGAGAAAAAAGAGGCAAAAGUAAAAAAACUCAAGGAAAUCAAGACCAUGCUGUGCAAAAUUGUUACAGCUGUUUCUGUUUUUAUUGGCUGUUUCUUUUGGCUUCAUUUUUUCAGCAACUGCAGUUCAUAUGAGCAGGAAGGCAUACAGCAUGGCCGAGCUCCACGGUGGUGGGCGGAGGGGAGGACAGAAAAGGGACUGAGAAGAGGAUGGAAGGGGCUGGGUGUGGAGGUUAUGAAUUGUGGCACAGUGCUUAGAGGGGACACACAUCAAAGCAUUUCUUUUUUGAUAGUUUUAUGGAAGCCUUAGCAAUAGAAUUUAGAGGCAUUUACUGGAAAGCUCCUAAAAGCAUCCCAUCUCCAUGGCUGGAUCAGAUUGGUGGUCUGUUUAAGGUAGUAUACUACCCUUGAAAUGAUGCUCUGAUAUCUCUGAGGAAAUAAUGUGUCAGGACACAUCCCUUCCCCUUUCCCUCCUGGAUGGUGAUUCACCUAGACCAGUGCACAGGGCAGAACAUACGGGGAGUGCAUAUUUUCCCUGGGGGACUCUAUUUCUCAUGGUUACAAAUGGAAUGAGUUAUAUGUCUGCUCAGUGACCCUAUGAAGAUACUGGCAGCUGGGAUACAGCACCUCAGGGCUUGGAGCAAGUUGCUCACCCACCUUGAUCCCCCUGCAAAGCAGCUGGAAGGUGAGCCAGAGACAGGCACAUGAAAAAAGCUCACAAUGAGUCUCUGUGUCUUCCUUAAAACUUCCUAUUAAAUAUGUGAUUUAAAUGA